GGAAAUCCUCCAACCUUUCAUCUCCUCUUUCCUUCUCACUCUAUUUAUUUAUUUUUUCCAAGUAUAUGCUUACAUAAGCUUAUAGGGAUUUGCUAGGCUGCCUUGAAGCAGCAGUUUAGUAUCUAUGGCCUGCCUGUGGGCUACAUAGUAAGCCCAGGGUUUUCUAGGAUAUUGUCUCCUUUCCUCUAAAGUUACUAAUUUCAGA